UACGAAAAAAGCUAGCGUUGUUCGGAAUUACUGGGCGUAAAGGGCGCGUAGGCUGUGCUGUAAGUCAGGCGUGAAAUCCCCGGACUCAACCUGGGAAUUGCGCAUGAUACUGCGGCGCUUGAAGACGGGAGAAGAUGGCGGAAUUCCCAGUGUAGAGAUGAAAUUCGUAGAUAUUGGGAAGAACACCGGUGGCGAAGGCGGCCAUCUGGCCCGUAAUUGACGCUGAGGCGCGAAAGCGUGGGGAGCAAACAGG
rnacentral:rRNA from 1 species